AUUAGUGGCGAACGGGUGAGUAACACGUGAGUAACCUGCCCUUAACUCUGGGAUAAGCCUGGGAAACUGGGUCUAAUACCGGAUAUGACUCCUCAUCGCAUGGUGGGGGGUGGAAAGCUUUAUUGUGGUUUUGGAUGGACUCGCGGCCUAUCAGCUUGUUGGUGAGGUAAUGGCUCACCAAGGCGACGACGGGUAGCCGGCCUGAGAGGGUGACCGGCCACACUGGGACUGAGACACGGCCCAGACUCCUACGGGAGGCAGCAGUGGGGAAUAUUGCACAAUGGGCGCAAGCCUGAUGCAGCGACGCCGCGUGAGGGAUGACGGCCUUCGGGUUGUAAACCUCUUUCAGUAGGGAAGAAGCGAAAGUGACGGUACCUGCAGAAGAAGCGCCGGCUAACUACGUGCCAGCAGCCGCGGUAAUACGUAGGGCGCAAGCGUUAUCCGGAAUUAUUGGGCGUAAAGAGCUCGUAGGCGGUUUGUCGCGUCUGCCGUGAAAGUCCGGGGCUCAACUCCGGAUCUGCGGUGGGUACGGGCAGACUAGAGUGAUGUAGGGGAGACUGGAAUUCCUGGUGUAGCGGUGAAAUGCGCAGAUAUCAGGAGGAACACCGAUGGCGAAGGCAGGUCUCUGGGCAUUAACUGACGCUGAGGAGCGAAAGCAUGGGGAGCGAACAGGAUUAGAUACCCUGGUAGUCCAUGCCGUAAACGUUGGGCACUAGGUGUGGGGGACAUUCCACGUUUUCCGCGCCGUAGCUAACGCAUUAAGUGCCCCGCCUG
rnacentral:rRNA from 1 species